rnacentral:sRNA from 1 species
GUGAACGCUUAAUGAGCGGUGAGCACAAGCGGAGCGGAGAGGAGAGUCAAAACUGUGAACGAUGAACCUAUGGUGAGCGAACGCUGAACGCACGAUAAGAGAACGGUAGGCGAAUGCAGAAUGCAAAAAUGGUAAAGAAGAACGUAUCACGGACUGAAACCAUUAUUUAUAUUUAACUUGCCAGUUUUGCAUAAAAUGAAUCAAUUGUAUAAGAGAACGAUUUUAAUCGUAUUUCCGUUGUUUCCACUUUUGUGGAUUUCCUUCUCACGGUCUGCUUUAUCAUAUUAAUAUCAGACACAAUGAUGUAAAUGAACAAAUUGAUGUUAUUAUCAUAUAAAAUGAUAUAACAAAAC